rnacentral:rRNA from 1 species
GAUGAACGCUGACAGAAUGCUUAACACAUCAGCAAUUGAUUGGUGGCGGACGGGUGAGUAACGCGUAAAUAACUUUCCUCACAGCUAGGGACAACAUUUGGAUACGAAUGCUAAUACCUACUACUGUGGGAGAGCUUUGCGUCCCAUUAGCUAUUUGGAGAGGUAACGGCUCACCAAGGCGAUGAUGGGUAGCCGGCCUGAGAGGGUGAUCGGCCACAAGGGGAAUGAGACACAGCCCUUACUCCUACGGGAGGCAGCAGUGUGGAAUAAUUGACAAAGGACCAAAGUCUGAUCCAGCAAUUGUGAGGGAAGGAUGAAGUUUUCGGAAUGAAAAGUGCUUUCAGUUGGGAAGCGGUACCAACAGAAGAAGUGACGGCUAAAUACGUGCCAGCAGCCGCGGUAAUUC